CCUACGGGAGGCAGCAGUGAGGAAUAUUGGUCAAUGGACGAGAGUCUGAACCAGCCAAGUAGCGUGAAGGAUGACUGCCCUAUGGGUUGUAAACUUCUUUUAUAUGGGAAUAAAAUGUUCCACGUGUGGGAUUUUGUAUGUACCAUAUGAAUAAGGAUCGGCUAACUCCGUGCCAGCAGCCGCGGUAAUACGGAGGAUGCGAGCGUUAUCCGGAUUUAUUGGGUUUAAAGGGAGCGUAGGUGGAUUGUUAAGUCAGUUGUGAAAGUUUGCGGCUCAACCGUAAAAUUGCAGUUGAAACUGGCAGUCUUGAGUACAGUAGAGGUGGGCGGAAGUCGUGGUGUAGCGGUGAAAUGCUUAGAUAUCACGAAGAACUCCGAUUGCGAAGGCAGUUCACUGGACUGCAACUGACACUGAGGCUCGAAAGUGUGGGUAUCAAACAGGAUUAGAUACCCUUGUAGUC
rnacentral:rRNA from 1 species